rnacentral:rRNA from 1 species
CCCGCUGAACUUAAGCAUAUCAAUAAGCGGAGGAAAAGAAACUAACAAGGAUUCCCCUAGUAACUGCGAGUGAAGCGGGAAGAGCUCAAAUUUAAAAUCUGGCGUGCCUCUGGCUGUCCGAGUUGUAGUCUGGAGAAGCGUUUUCCGUGUUGGACCGUGUAUAAGUCUCUUGGAACAGGGCGUCAUAGAGGGUGAGAAUCCCGUCUUUGACACGGACUACUAAUGCUUUGUGAUGCGCUCUCAAAGAGUCGAGUUGUUUGGGAAUGCAGCUCAAAAUGGGUGGUAAAUUCCAUCUAAAGCUAAAUAUAGGCGAGAGACCGAUAGCGAACAAGUACCGUGAGGGAAAGAUGAAAAGCACUUUGGAAAGAGAGUUAAACAGUACGUGAAAUUGCUGAAAGGGAAACGCUUGAAGUCAGUCGUGUCUGCCAGGACUCAGCCUUGCUUCUGCUUGGUGUACUUUCUGGUCGGAUGGGCCAACAUCAAUUUCAACCGUUGGAGAAAGGCUUUGGGAAUGUGGCACCCUUGGGUGUGUUAUAGCCCUUUGUUGUAUACAACGGUUGGGAUUGAGGACUGCAGCACGCCUUUAUGGCCGGGGGUUUACCCACGUACGUGCUUAGGAUGUUGGCAUAAUGGCUUUAAGCGACCCGUCUUGAAACACGG